CACCGCGGUUAUACGAGAGGCCCAAGUUGAUAAAGACCGGCGUAAAGCGUGGUUAAUAGAAGUGAAACUAAAGCCGAACACCUUCAAAGCUGUCAUACGCCUCGGAGGCAGGAAGCCCCUUUACGAAAGUGGCUUUAAACCUAUGACUCCACGAAAGCUAGGGAA
rnacentral:rRNA from 2 species